rnacentral:rRNA from 1 species
UAUAAUUUUUGGUUAUUUAGUGUUUAAUGAAAAUUAAUUUAAAGUUUUUGUAUAUUUUAUUGAUAAAUUUUUUUUUGAUUAUAUAUAAUUUGUACUGUGAAGGUUAAUUAUUUUAUUUAUUUAAAUUGAAAGUAGAAUUAAAUUUUUGUACCUUGUGUAUCAGGGUUAAUUAAUAACUAUUUAUAUAUUUUAUUUAUCUCGAUUUCUUAAGAGUUAACUAAUUAUUUUAUUUAUUGUUAUAUAUCUAUAUAUAAUAAUUAGUUGGUAAUGAAAUGUUAAUCGUUUUAGAUGAUAUCUAGUUUUUCAGGAAAUAAAUUUAAUUUACAUUUUUUAAUUAAAUUUCUUAUUUUUUAGUUAUUUUUAUUAAUAAAAUGAAUAUUUAGGGGGAUAAGCUCUUAAUUAUAUUAUUAUAAGUUAUUUAAAGUUUAUAUUUUUUGUGGAUUUAAUGUUGAUUAAUAUUAUGAGUGUAUUAAAAUUUUAUUUAUAUAUUUGUAUUAUUUAUUAAUCUUUAAUUUUUUACUGAAAUUUUUUAUUUAAUAUUUAAAUAUUAGAAAUUAUGGUUAAAUUAGUAAAUAUUAAUUUAUAUUGAUUAGUAAUUUUAAGGAACUAGGCAACAAUUUGUUCGCUUGUUUAACAAAAACAUCUUUUCUUGUAUAGAAUAUGAAGUAUAACCUGCCCAAUGAAAUUUAAAGGGCCGCGGUAUUUUGACCGUGCAAAGGUAGCAUAAUCAUUAGUCUUUUAAUUGGAGGCUGGAAUGAAUGGUUGGACGAAACAAAUUCUUUCUUUUUAUUAUUUUUAUUGAAUUUAAUUAUUAAGUUAAAAGGCUUAAAUUAUUUUUUGGGACGAGAAGACCCUAUAGAGUUUCAUAUUUAUUUAAAUAUAUUUAGUUUGUAAAUAAUUAAUAUUUUAAUAAUUAUUUUAUUGGGGUGAUAGGGAGAUAAAUAAAACUCUUUUUAUUGUUUAAUAUUUAUAUAUAAAUUUUUGAUCCAUUAGUAUUGAUUAUAAGAUAAAAGUACCUUAGGGAUACCAGCGUAAUCUUUUUUAAGAGUUCAUAUCGACAAUAAGGAUUGCGACCUCGAUGUUGGAUUAAGAAAAAUUUUAGGUGUAGAAGCUUAAAAAUUAGGUCUGUUCGACCUUUAAAUUCUUACAUGAUCUGAUUUCAAACCGGCGUGAGCCAGGUUGGUUUCUAUCUAUUAUAAAUAUAAAUGCUUUAGGACGAAAGGACCAAGUAUU